GACGAACGCUGGCGGCGUGCUUAACACAUGCAAGUCGAACGGAAAGGCCCUGCUUGCAGGGUACUCGAGUGGCGAACGGGUGAGUAACACGUGGGUGAUCUGCCCUGCACUUCGGGAUAAGCCUGGGAAACUGGGUCUAAUACCGGAUAGGAGCCAUUUUUAGUGUGAUGGUUGGAAAGUUUUUUCGGUGUAGGAUGAGCUCGCGGCCUAUCAGCUUGUUGGUGGGGUAAUGGCCUACCAAGGCGGCGGCGGGUAGCCGGCCUGAAAGGGUGGACGGCCACAUUGGGACUGAGAUACGGCCCAGACUCCUACGGGAGGCAGCAGUGGGGAAUUUUGCACAAUGGGCGCAAGCCUGAUGCAGCGACGCCGCGUGGGGGAUGACGGCCUUCGGGUUGUAAACUCCUUUCGCUAGGGACGAAGCUUUUUGUGACGGUACCUAGAUAAGAAGCACCGGCUAACUACGUG
rnacentral:rRNA from 1 species